CCGCACAGUUGAAGAGAGUCGCUGUGAUGACACUCGGCUCAAACAGCAUAUCCCCCGGGAGAGCUACGCAAUCCCUGAACGCCCAUAGGCUGUAUCAGGUGUCAAUCAUAGCAAACAUGAACCCCUAAUAACUUUUAAAAAUGGAGCUUCACAGAAAAAAAGAGGACUUGGGCACAAACCAGUCUGACAGUAACUACAUGUCAACAUCACAAUCAGGAGGGAUAAAAAUGUAUGUUCUGUGUAAUACAUUUUUUAAGUUUGUCCACUGCUCCAUAAUCUUUGCUGGCGGAGGCGGGAUUUAUGACCUAUACUGCAGCCCAUCAACAGAGGGUGCUGUUCUCGGAGUGGCUUCACCCAGCGAGGAGGCAGACUCUGUCCAUCUUAUAUACAGUCUAUGGCAGGUGUCAAUCAUAGAAAACAUGAACCCCCUAAUAACUUUUAAAAACAGAGCUGUACAGAAAAAAGAGGACUUGAGCACAAACCAGUCUUACUGUAACUACAUGUCAAC